rnacentral:rRNA from 1 species
GAAUUUUGGACAAUGGGCGAAAGCCUGAUCCAGCAAUGCCGCGUGCAGGAUGAAGGCCUUCGGGUUGUAAAGCUCUGUCCUAAGGGAAGAAACGGACGGUACCUUAGGAGGAAGCCCCGGCUAACUACGUGCCAUCAGCCGCGGUAAUACGUAGGGGGCGAGCGUUAUCCGGAAUUACUGGGCGUAAAGGGUGCGUAGGCGGCCUUUUAAGUCAGAUGUGAAAGGCUACGGCUUAACCGUAGUUAGCAUUUGAAACUAAAAGGCUUGAGUGCAGGAGAGGAGAGUGGAAUUCCUAGUGUAGCGGUGAAAUGCGUAGAUAUUAGGAGGAACACCAGUGGCGAAGGCGACUCUCUGGACUGCAACUGACGCUGAGGCACGAAAGCGUGGGGAGCGAAC